ACACAUGCAAGUCGAACGGGAAGAGAUGAAGAGCUUGCUCUUUAUCGAAUCCAGUGGCAAACGGGUGAGUAACACGUAAACAACCUGCCUUCAGGAUGGGGACAACAGACGGAAACGACUGCUAAUACCGAAUACGUUCCACGGGCCGCAUGACCUGUGGAAGAAAGGGUAGCCUCUACCUGUAAGCUAUCGCCUGAAGAGGGGUUUGCGUCUGAUUAGGCAGUUGGUGAGGUAACGGCUCACCAAACCAACGAUCAGUAGCCGGUCUGAGAGGAUGAACGGCCACACUGGAACUGAGACACGGUCCAGACUCCUACGGGAGGCAGCAGUGGGGAAUCUUCCGCAAUGGACGAAAGUCUGACGGAGCAACGCCGCGUGAGUGAAGACGGCCUUCGGGUUGUAAAGCUCUGUGAUCCGGGACGAAAGAGCCUGAGGUAAAUAGCCUGAGGAAGUGACGGUACCGGAAAAGCAAGCCACGGCUAACUACGUGCCAGCAGCCGCGGUAAUACGUAGGUGGCAAGCGUUGUCCGGAAUUAUUGGGCGUAAAGCGCGCGCAGGCGGCUUACUAAGUCCAUCUUAAAAGUGCGGGGCUUAACCCCGUGAUGGGAUGGAAACUGGAAAGCUGGAGUAUCGGAGAGGAAAGUGGAAUUCCUAGUGUAGCGGUGAAAUGCGUAGAGAUUAGGAAGAACACCGGUGGCGAAGGCGACUUUCUGGACGAAAACUGACGCUGAGGCGCGAAAGCGUGGGGAGCAAACAGGAUUAGAUACCCUGGUAGUCCACGCCGUAAACGAUGGAUACUAGGUGUAGGAGGUAUCGACCCCUUCUGUGCCGGAGUUAACGCAAUAAGUAUCC
rnacentral:rRNA from 1 species